UACGUAGGCAGCGAGCGUUGUUCGGAAUUACUGGGCGUAAAGGGCGCGUAGGCGGCCAUCUAAGUCAGACGUGAAAUCCCCCGGCUUAACCUGGGAACUGCGUCUGAUACUGGGAGGCUAGAGUUUGGGAGAGGGAUGUAGAAUUCCAGGUGUAGCGGUGAAAUGCGUAGAUAUCUGGAGGAAUACCGGUGGCGAAGGCGGCAUCCUGGACCAAUACUGACGCUGAGGCGCGAAAGCUAGGGGAGCAAACGGG
rnacentral:rRNA from 1 species